UGCAGAAGCCAAAAUAAUCACCAUUUAUUUCUGUAAAAAUAGGAGACACUUUAUGAAAAAACUUGAAGAACAUGACAUGAAUCCCAUUUAUGUAUUGAAAUGUGGAUGCAUUGCUUCUGAUGUUGUUUUAUUUUCCCUUAAUAGGAUAUAGAUGACAAUCUAGAUGCCGACUUGGAAGAUUCAGAAGAAGAUGCAUAUGAAGGCAACAAAGAUGCAGCAAGGGCCCUGUUGCGCGUCAAACAAAAGCUCGAUGGAUACGAAGACGGUGAAAUGAGAAGCGUUCAUGGCCAGGUUCAACAACUUGUACAAGACGCCAUUGAUCCCGACCGCCUGUGCCAUAUGUUUCCCGGAUGGGCAGCGUGGAUGUAAUGAAUAAGUGAUAAGCCCCCUCAAUUUUGUCGAAUGCACAGAAACAUAAUACAUUUUCAAGUCUGCAGUUGAGCUCUGAGGGAUUCUUUCCUUUUCUUCUCUUUUUUGCCUCGUUUCAUUUCAUGCAUGGUCUUGAGGCCAAGGCGAAUAUUGGCAAGUGUAUAUAUCUUUUCUGUUAGUCAUGCUACUAAAUGUACAGUAGUUGAGUUGUAUUCUAUUUAGAGUUGUUCCAUUGUA